rnacentral:tRNA from 2 species
GCUCCUAUAGCUCAGUUGGUAGAGCAGUUGAUUUGUAAUUAAACGGUCUACUGUAAAUUGGGCGUA